ACUCCCCCCCCCCCUUCCCCUGCGCCGCGACGAGCGGCUGCUCCCGCCCCGGCCCGGGCCGCGUCCGCGCCGCCACUUCCUAGAACGGGGGCCGCGCGCGCCGAGAGUUCGGACGCGGGUCUGGCUGGGUUGCUUCGUUUUGUUGCAUUUUAUUACCGAUUAAAGAGCCUCGCGUUCGCCGCCGCCCCAGCCCGCUCCUGUUCCCGCGGCCCCCCCGGCCCGGCCCGCCGUCGCCCGAGGGGGUGUCCGGGCCCCGCGCGCCGAACCCGGCUCCUCCGAAGCCCCCUCCGGGCCCCCGCGCCCCCCUCGGGCCUGCCCGGCUCCCGCCCCUCCCCUCCGCCCCCCCACCCCAGCGCCGCCGCUCCGGGCUUCGCGGCUCGAAAACAACAGCGGCGGCGCCGCCCGCUCCGCCGCAGCCCCGGCGGGCGGGCGGCUGAAACUCGGACCCGCCGCCCUCGGUCCGCGCGGAGCCGCCGAGAGCAGCGCGCCGGUCACCGGGGGACGCAGCGCGGGGGCAGCCGUCCGAACCCCGGGGCGCCCCGGACCUCGCCGCCCUAGGGGCGCGCCCGCGCACUCCCGCCCCCGCCGGCCCCAGCGAGGCCGGGGGCGCCUCCGCCGAGACCUGCGUUCCGAGCCUCACGGAAGAGAGGUGAAGUCGCCGGGGUGGAACAGCUAACACCGAGACCCUGGGGUCCUAGCAGAGGCCCUCCGGUGGCCCGUGCCACCCCGGGCGGGCGAGCUCAACGGAGCAGGGCUUGGCAGGGGCAGAGGCGGGGAUGAGCUGGGCCUCUGCGCCCCCGCGGCCCACAGCUGCCUCCCCGUCUGAAUUCCAACGCCCACUGAGCUCCCCCGGGCUUCGGGGUGCCCCGUCUCGAGCCCCGCUUGCUGCCCCAGGCGGAGAAGGCACUCUCUUCCCUGCUCUGUUUCUCGCUGAAGGCAGCCUCUGCUGUUUCCGGCCACAGCUGGAGCUGUUUACCAUCUUCCAACUCUCACGAAGAAAGGAAAAACUAUCACUUAGACAGAGCCAUUGAAAACUCAGCAUCGUACGUGGAUUUCUUCACGUAAAUAAAUCACACGAAGCGAGACUCGUGUUCUCCGAGUGACGUCAUCCGCUGAAGGCCACCUCCCCCGUCAGAUCAGCGUUGGGUGCUUUCCUCCUCGUGCGGGCGCCCUUUCCGCAAGACCAGGGCCUGGCCUCGGGGAUCGGCCCGGGACGCCGGAAAGGUCUCUGCCUGGGUCAGCCCGGCACGACCGGGUCCAGAGGGCGAAAACAGUUCCAACUCCACAGACUGCUCGGAAGCUUUGCUUUGGAACCAUAGGUUCUGAGGUUGAAAGGCCGUGAACGCGUCCAGAAGAAACGUGUGCAGCGCCCAGCGGGAGGUGAAGGCCCUUUGGGUCCUUCCGGAGCCCACGGUGACGCUGGCUGCGGCGUCAUCCCCUUGAAAUGAACGAGGAACCGGAAAAUCACCGGGAAGGCGUCCAGGAGAUGUGGCGUAUUUGGCCACGAGAAGGGACAAAGUCCUGACACGUGCCACAACGCGUGUGACCUCGGAAACAUUAUUCUCGGUGAAAGAAACUAGUCACGAGGCCACGUGUCGUCUGGGUCCAUUUACAAGAAGUGUCUAGGACGGGAAAGUCCGCAGAGACAGAAG